AAGGGAGCUGCCCACAGAGGUAAAGACAAGGUCAGAUAGGCUGAGAGACGCAGGAAAGCGGGUCAAUGUGUAGGGCUGGAGGGCAGGGGCGGGCCCUGGGCCUGGGCUGGGGGUCCUGCCCCGGGGCGCACCCAGGGCGAGGGCUGCCCGGAGGAGCCGAGGCUGGCGGACAGCUUGGCCCUGAGCUUGAGGGGAAGGCAGCGAUGGGACAAAGGACGGAGGUCUAGGAAGAGGGUCUGCAGAGCAGAAAGCACGGGUAGGGGCGGCCUGACGCUCGGAAGACAACGGAUGGGAGCCGUGUGCACGUCGGGAGCUCGGAGUGAGCGCACCAUGACUCCUGUGAGGAUGCAGCACUCCCUGGCAGGUCAGACCUAUGCCGUGCCCCUCAUCCAGCCAGACCUGCGGUGAGAGGAGGCCGUCCAGCAGAUGGCAGAUGCCCUGCAGUACCUGCAGAAGGUCUCUGGAGACAUCUUCAGCAGGUAGAGCAGAGCCGGAGCCAGGUGCAGGCCAUUGGAGAGAAGGUCUCCUUGGCCCAGGCCAAGAUUGAGAAGAUCAAGGGCAGCAAGAAGGCCAUCAAGGUGUUCUCCAGUGCCAAGUACCCUGCUCCAGAGCGCCUGCAGGAAUAUGGCUCCAUCUUCACGGGCGCCCAGGACCCUGGCCUGCAGAGACGCCCCCGCCACAGGAUCCAGAGCAAGCACCGCCCCCUGGACGAGCGGGCCCUGCAGGAGAAGCUGAAGGACUUUCCUGUGUGCGUGAGCACCAAGCCGGAGCCCGAGGACGAUGCAGAAGAGGGACUUGGGGGUCUUCCCAGCAACAUCAGCUCUGUCAGCUCCUUGCUGCUCUUCAACACCACCUAGAACCUGUACAAGAAGUAUGUCUUCCUGGACCCCCUGGCUGGUGCUGUAACAAAGACCCAUGUGAUGCUGGGGGCAGAGACAGAGGAGAAGCUGUUUGAUGCCCCCUUGUCCAUCAGCAAGAGAGAGCAGCUGGAACAGCAGGUCCCUGAGAACUACUUCUAUGUGCCAGACCUGGGCCAGGUGCCUGAGAUUGAUGUUCCAUCCUACCUGCCUGACCUGCCCGGCAUUGCCAACGACCUCAUGUACAUUGCCGACCUGGGCCCCGGCAUUGCCCCCUCUGCCCCUGGCACCAUUCCAGAACUGCCCACCUUCCACACUGAGGUAGCCGAGCCUCUCAAGACCUACAAGAUGGGGUACUAACACCACCCCCACCGCCCCCACCACCACCCCCAGCUCCUGAGGUGCUGGCCAGUGCACCCCCACUCCCACCCUCAACCGCGGCCCCUGUAGGCCAAGGCGCCAGGCAGGACGACAGCAGCAGCAGCGCGUCUCCUUCAGUCCAGGGAGCUCCCAGGGAAGUGGUCGACCCCUCCGGUGGCCGGGCCACUCUGCUAGAGUCCAUCCGCCAAGCUGGGGGCAUCGGCAAGGCCAAGCUGCGCAGCAUGAAGGAGCGAAAGCUGGAGAAGAAGAAGCAGAAGGAGCAGGAGCAAGUGAGAGCCACGAGCCAAGGUGGGCACUUGAUGUCGGAUCUCUUCAACAAGCUGGUCAUGAGGCGCAAGGGCAUCUCUGGGAAAGGACCUGGGGCUGGUGAGGGGCCCGGAGGAGCCUUUGCCCGUGUGUCAGACUCCAUCCCUCCUCUGCCGCCACCGCAGCAGCCACAGGCAGAGGAGGACGAGGAUGACUGGGAAUCCUAGGGGGCUCCAUGACACCUUCCCCCCCAGACCCAGACUUGGGCCGUUGCUCUGACAUGGACACAGCCAGGACAAGCUGCUCAGACCUGCUUCCCUGGGAGGGGGUGACGGAACCAGCACUGUGUGGAGACCAGCUUCAAGGAGCGGAAGGCUGGCUUGAGGCCACACAGCUGGGGCGGGGACUUCUGUCUGCCUGUACUUCAUGGGGGGACGGCUCCACCCAGCCUGCGCCACUGUGUUCUUCUCUUAAGAGGCUUCCAGAGAAAACGGCACACCAAUCAAUAAAGAACUGAGCAGAAACCAACAGUGUGCUUUUAAUAAAGGACCUCUAGCUGUGCAGGA
ensembl:lncRNA WASH2P WASP family homolog 2, pseudogene